rnacentral:rRNA from 1 species
UGACUGCGUACCUUUUGUAUAAUGGGUCAGCGACUUAUAUUCUGUAGCAAGGUUAACCGAAUAGGGGAGCCGGAGGGAAACCGAGUCUUAAUUGGGCGUUAAGUUGCAGGGUAUAGACCCGAAACCCGGUGAUCUAGCCAUGGGCAGGUUGAAGGUUGGGUAACACUAACUGGAGGACCGAACCGACUAAUGUUGAAAAAUUAGCGGAUGACCUGUGGCUGGGGGUGAAAGGCCAAUCAAACCGGGAGAUAGCUGGUUCUCCCCGAAAGCUAUUUAGGUAGCGCCUCGUGAAUUCAUCUCCGGGGGUAGAGCACUGUUUCGGCUAGGGGGCCAUCCCGGCUUACCAACCCGAUGCAAACUGCGAAUACCGGAGAAUGUUAUCACGGGAGACACACGGCGGGUGCUAACGUCCGUCGUGAAGAGGGAAACAACCCAGACCGCCAGCUAAGGUCCCAAAGUCAUGGUUAAGUGGGAAACGAUGUGGGAAGGCCCAGACAGCCAGGAUGUUGGCUUAGAAGCAGCCAUCAUUUAAAGAAAGCGUAAUAGCUCACUGGUCGAGUCGGCCUGCGCGGAAGAUGUAACGGGGCUAAACCAUGCACCGAAGCUGCGGCAGCGACACUAUGUGUUGUUGGGUAGGGGAGCGUUCUGUAAGCCUGUGAAGGUGGCCUGUGAGGGUUGCUGGAGGUAUCAGAAGUGCGAAUGCUGACAUAAGUAACGAUAAAGCGGGUGAAAAGCCCGCUCGCCGGAAGACCAAGGGUUCCUGUCCAACGUUAAUCGGGGCAGGGUGAGUCGACCCCUAAGGCGAGGCCGAAAGGCGUAGUCGAUGGGAAACGGGUUAAUAUUCCCGUACUUGGUGUUACUGCGAAGGGGGGACGGAGAAGGCUAUGUUGGCCGGGCGACGGUUGUCCCGGUUUAAGCGUGUAGGUGUGUGUUCCAGGUAAAUCCGGUUCACUUUAACACUGAGGCGUGAUGACGAGGCACUACGGUGCUGAAGCAACAAAUGCCCUGCUUCCAGGAAAAGCCUCUAAGCAUCAGGUAACAUCAAAUCGUACCCCAAACCGACACAGGUGGUCAGGUAGAGAAUACCAAGGCGCUUGAGAGAACUCGGGUGAAGGAACUAGGCAAAAUGGUGCCGUAACUUCGGGAGAAGGCACGCUGACAUGUAGGUGAAGUGAUUUACUCAUGGAGCUGAAGUCAGUCGAAGAUACCAGCUGGCUGCAACUGUUUAUUAAAAACACAGCACUGUGCAAACACGAAAGUGGACGUAUACGGUGUGACGCCUGCCCGGUGCCGGAAGGUUAAUUGAUGGGGUCAGCGCAAGCGAAGCUCCUGAUCGAAGCCCCGGUAAACGGCGGCCGUAACUAUAACGGUCCUAAGGUAGCGAAAUUCCUUGUCGGGUAAGUUCCGACCUGCACGAAUGGCGUAAUGAUGGCCAGGCUGUCUCCACCCGAGACUCAGUGAAAUUGAACUCGCUGUGAAGAUGCAGUGUACCCGCGGCAAGACGGAAAGACCCCGUGAACCUUUACUAUAGCUUGACACUGAACAUUGAGCCUUGAUGUGUAGGAUAGGUGGGAGGCUUUGAAGUGUGGACGCCAGUCUGCAUGGAGCCGACCUUGAAAUACCACCCUUUAAUGUUUGAUGUUCUAACGUGGAUCCGUGAUCCGGGUUGCGGACAGUGUCUGGUGGGUAGUUUGACUGGGGCGGUCUCCUCCUAAAGAGUAACGGAGGAGCACGAAGGUUGGCUAAUCCUGGUCGGACAUCAGGAGGUUAGUGCAAUGGCAUAAGCCAGCUUGACUGCGAGCGUGACGGCGCGAGCAGGUGCGAAAGCAGGUCAUAGUGAUCCGGUGGUUCUGAAUGGAAGGGCCAUCGCUCAACGGAUAAAAGGUACUCCGGGGAUAACAGGCUGAUACCGCCCAAGAGUUCAUAUCGACGGCGGUGUUUGGCACCUCGAUGUCGGCUCAUCACAUCCUGGGGCUGAAGUAGGUCCCAAGGGUAUGGCUGUUCGCCAUUUAAAGUGGUACGCGAGCUGGGUUUAGAACGUCGUGAGACAGUUCGGUCCCUAUCUGCCGUGGGCGCUGGAGAACUGAGGGGGGCUGCUCCUAGUACGAGAGGACCGGAGUGGACGCAUCACUGGUGUUCGGGUUGUCAUGCCAAUGGCACUGCCCGGUAGCUAAAUGCGGAAGAGAUAAGUGCUGAAAGCAUCUAAGCACGAAACUUGCCCCGAGAUGAGUUCU